UUCAAUCUGGUGGCAGAAGGGAGGAGUGGCCUGGUACUGGCUGCACAAUCCCCUGCCGCCCAGAGCGAUACCCUCUCUGCGCACACGGCAAUCCUGACAGCCGGCAGGGCGGGGGACCCUACGCUCCACGAGGGUGGAGACGAGUCGGUGCUGCUCACUGUGGUGCCUCCAGCACACGGCACAGCGCUGGCACUCACUAGGUCCAAAAUCACUUGAUGAAUGACAACAUCACAAGAGGGGGCACGGUUUUUUUUUUCCUUAAAGGAUAUUUGCUUUUCCAGCAUAUUAACUGCUAUUAUCUAACAAGCACUUAUUUCAUGUAUGUCUCACCAUUUAAUCCUUACUGUAUCCUUAUCAUUUAGUAAAAUGACCAAGAGGUAACGGAGAGUCAGCAGUGAUAUUCAAAGCUCAAGUUCACAGUCAGAGCCUCACCUCGGAUCUUCUACUUCUCUCUGUCCACGACCAACUGCCCUGUGCAGUUAGCCCCGCUAAGGCACAGAGACUCCACACCAGCAUCCUCUCACGCAACCCGCCCCACCCUCCACCCAGAACCUUCCACUGCAGGUGUUAGAGGCCUCCUUACCCUGUUAUGCUGAAGCCUUUCCCAUUAGCCCCCACUUGCUCUCACCCCAUUAAGAUGGGUGUGGCUGUGCCUCUCAAGAACAGUAACUGCCUCCGGCCUCUCACGAGACCCUCUUCCUAGACCCUGUUUCCCUGUAGGUCCCACCCUUCCCUUCCUUGUCAGAGCCCCUGGGGAGGUGCAGCUCCUGCCGGGACUCAGUGGCCAUCUGGCGACAGCCUCCCCCACGCAGACUGAGCUCAGUGCUGGCCAACUCUCACCCCCCCACCUUGAGGCUCCCUGCUGCUGCCUGCUCGGCACAGCUGCCACCCUGUCUACCUGGACCUCAUGCUCUGCCUUCCACCAUUCUCAAAGCUUAGGCCAAACCUGAGGCCUCCUCGGAAGGGGCAGAGUUCCAUUCACAUCCAACAAACCACAAAAUACAUAUAUACACGUACGUGUGUGUGUGUGUGUGUGUAUCAGAGUAGGAGUCAGAGGCUCUGUGUUUAUACCUGAUGCUAUUACUAAACCCACCGUGUAACCAAAUAAGCCAUUGCCCCUCCCAGGGAGCUCACUAGUCCACCUCUAAAGUCCACGGCUCACAUUGGCAAGAGAUAACAGAUAGCACUUAUAUAGCACAUACUUGUUUUUAAAUAGCUUUAUUGAGGUAUAACUGGUGUAUAAUAAAUUGCACAUAUUUAAAGUAUACAAUUGAUAGGUUGUGACACAUGAAUACACCUGUGAAAUCAUCACCAAGGUCAAGAUCAUGAACACAUCCAUCACCCAAAAGUCUCCUUGUUCCCCUUAUAAUCCCUCCCUCCUGCCCCCAUCCCCAAGCAACUACUGACCUGCUUCCUGUCGUUACAGCUUUAUCCUAGCACUUCCUUUUAGCCCAGCGCUGCCCUAAACACUCUGAUGUGUAUAACUCACUUUAUCCUCACAACACAGAUGCGCAAACUGAAGUAUGGUGAGCUGACGGAACUUGACCCUGGGCAUCAGCUAGUGAGCGGCAGAGGUAGAAUGCAAGGAGCCACCGUGGCUCCAAUCUCCAGGCUCUUUACGUGGCCUUAUACUGUCUUUCAACAGCAGCCGGAAAUUCAGCACAGGGCCCGGACUGCAGUUCCCUGACCAGGGAUGGAACCUGUGCCCCCUGCAGUGGAAGCACGGAGUGUUAACCACUGGACCGCCAGCGAAGUCCCAAAGGACUUUCAACAGCCCGUGUAGAGGAGGAACGUGGGACACUGCAGCUGCAGGGAAAAAAACAAAAGAAAGAACAAGACAGAUCGGUGCAGAAGAGCAUGCUGACUGUCGUGUAGCGUACACAGCGGCAUCAGCUAGGAGUACCUGGACAACGAUCAAGUGUUCUGUUUUUUAAAAACAUGCAAACCCUUUGUUUCAGCAAGUUAACUUACAGGAAUUUAUCACUCCUAAGGAAAAGGGAAAAAAUAUACCUUCCCACUAGAGGAAUCUGGUUACCACCACCUUAACCCAGAGAUCAAAGAGCAUCACCAAGAGCAAGACUACUUUACAUUCGUGCCUUCUGAUGGGACAGCAUUACCUAUGAAGACUUCUUGUCAAAAAAUGUUUACGGCUUCCUAGGUGGCGCAGUGGUUAAGAAUCCGCCUGCCAAUGCAGGGGACAUGAGUUCGAGCCUUGCUCCAGGAAGAUCCCACAUGCCACAGAGCAGCUAAGUCCAUGAGCCACAACUACUGAGCCCAUGUGCCGCAACUACUGAAGCCCAUGCACCUAGAGCCCAGUGCUAUGCAACAGGAGAACCUGCUGCAAUGAGAAGCCUGAGCACCACAAUGAAGAGUAGCCCCCACUCACCACAAAUAGAGAAAGCCCGUGUGCAGCAACCAAGACCCAACGCAGCCAAUAAAUAAAUGUAUUUUUUUAAAAAAAAAGUUUAACCUGAAUCUAAGAAAGCUUUGGAACCUUACUUCCAGUUUAAGGGAAAUGCAGGGAAUAAAAGAAUAAUCAAUUACAUCCAGAAUGUGGACAGUCUACAGAAUCUGGCCUGGUCUCUUUCAAAAGUCAAUGUCAUGGGGGAAAAUGGUGUGUGUGUGAAGGGGUGGGAGUGCGGAGGGGUUGUUCCAGAUUAAGAGAGCCUAAAAAAGUAAAAUCAAUGCAGCAUGCAAAUUUUUUAUUAGAUUUUGAUUUGGAAAGAGACAGUAACCAAGGACAUUUUGGGGAGAAGUGGGGAAAUUAAGAAAAUGAUAUUGUAGUUAUAUAGCUAAUUGACUUAUUUGUAAGAGAUGAAUGUUGAAGUUUUUAGGAAUUAGGUAUCACAAUGCCCUUACUUUCUUCUGAAAUGGUCCGGGAAAACAAUAAUUAAAAAUAUACAGAUGAAACAUAACACAAAAUGUUGAUAACUGUUGACUCUAGAUGGUAGGUAUAUGGGUGUUCCUUGUACUAUUUCCUUAUGUGUAAAAAUUCAUGACAAAAAAUCUUUUAAGUAAGGCAUCAAGUAUGGUUAAAUCCAUGUGCUAGACAU